UGGGAUGGGGGUUAGUGAAUGGUGCAUGCCUUUAAUUCCAGCAAGGCAAAUGGAUCUCUGUGAGUUCCAGGCCAGCCUGGUCUAUAUAGUGAAUUCCAGGACAGUCAGAGGUACAUAGUGAGACUCUGUCUCAGAUAGAUAGAUAGAUAGAUAGAUAGAUAGAUAGAUAGAUAGAUAGAUAGAUAAAGAGAGAUUAUUGUUGUUUUGAUUAUUAAUGAAAAAGUUAAAAAGUCCUUGUUAAAAUAACAUGUUCUGCUGGGUGUGGUGGCGCACACCUUUAAUUUCAGCACUCAGGAGGCAGAGGCAGGUGGAUCUCUGUGAGUUCGAGGCCAGCCUGGUUUACAUAGCGAGUUCCAGGACAGGUUCCAAAGCUACACAGAGAAACCAUGUCUUGAAAAAAAACAAUAAUCUGCUCAUCUCUAUACCUGCUCUUGGCCUUAAUUCUCAUUAAAGUUGUCUUCUCAGCCCUGCCCAGGGCUAUGAGAACGAGCUUCACUGCAUCACUGGAGCCUCACUGCAUCACUGGAAAGCUUCUCUCUAAGUCAGAGAGCACUGUAUUUACUCCCCAAUGUUGUCCACGAAUGGAACAUGACAGAAAGCCCUUGAAGUAUGCGAUGCCAAGGAUAUAUAUAUUACAGUUAUCAUCCCUUUUUCAUACACUGGGAAACUUUUGCUGUCAAGAGCUUGUGGUAGAGCUGGAUUCAAACUCGAGGCUGCACCUCAGUUAUGUUCUCUCCCCCCACACACACUCACUUCUGCUCCCCUACUUUUCAAAGAUGCCUUGUGGGAAAGAAGCCAGAGCUGUGCCCUCUCUUCCCCAGUGGAUAGGGAAGUUCACUUGGGAGGAACCAAAGUCACCUGCUUCACAGGUAUCUUUUCAGUGCAAUAAACUUCAGAAUCUGGUACAGUAAAACCUGGGUCAUUAGGUGCUUUAUUGCCUGGCUAUCUCUCCAAUAGCUCGUUGCCAGCUUUAGCAGGGAGGGGCUGCCGAUAAGUACAGAGAACCCAGAGUUUGAAAACACAGAGUUCCAAGCCUGGGUUGGCCAUUAACUAUGGACAACUUCAGGUUCUCACCUUCCAUAUCUGAGUGUCACUCACCAUGUUAAUGGGAGAGUCUGAAUAGAGUGGUAUUUCCCAAGUUUUUUCCAGUAGGCAUGUACCUUUUGGACAAUUUUUUAAGGCAAAAGGGACCCCCUCCUGCACCCACCAAUCCAGUGAGCCCAAAUUCCUCAUUGUGGGCCUUGGGUCCUUAUUUCUGUGGGCAUAACUCAAGUAGGAAGUUGCAGCACAUUGCAGUCCCCAUGACAAAGGAAACCUGCCCAGUUUUGUGUCUUGGGAAGUGUUUGUAAAAUAGGCUUUGGGGAAUAUUAGGUUCAGGAUCUGUAGGGUUCUUAUCAACUUGGAGAAGGUCUUUCUUGUGUGUGUGUGUGUGUGUGUGUGUGUGUGUGUGUGUGUGUGUGUGUGUGUGUGUCCUCAGAGACCAGAAGAGGGCAUUGGAUCCCCUGGAGCUGGAAUUGCAGGUUGUUAUGAGCUGCCUGAUAUGGGUUCUGGGAACCAAACUCAGGUCCUCUGAAAGAGCAAUAAGUGUUCUUAACCACUGAGCCCUCUCUCUAGCCCAUAAGAAAUUUUCAUUCAUUAUAUACUGGUUUUUACUGUUGUUUGCUUGUUUAUAAUUAUUUUCUUUUAGUUUAUAUGUAUGAAUGUUUGUGGGCAUGUAUAUAUGGGUGUCAUGUGCACACAAUGCUCAAGGACAGAAGAAAGUCUCAGGAUCCCUGGAACUGAUAUUGCAGACAGUUGUGAUCCUCCACGUGGGUGCUGGGAACUAAACCUGGAUCUUCUGCAAGAAUAGCAAGUGCUCUUAACCCCUGAACCAUCUCUCCAACUCUGAGAGAGUAUUGCUUUGACUUAAGACUGUGAGAUUCAAAAAGUGCAUCCAGGAUUCUGAGCAAUAGAGUAAUCAUGGUCAAAAAAGUCUAGAUGGAGUUCAGUUGCAAUUUAUAGAUGGCCACUUGAUGGGAAUGAGAGUCCCCAUGAGAACAAGACAGCAGAGCUCCAGUCAAGAGGCCAGUCAAUUAACCUGAGUCCUGCAGUGUAAUGGGCCUGCCCUGGUUGUGCAGUGCAUCUGGGCUGGCUGUAAGUCCCCCCUCCUUUUUUAAAACUCUGUAGGUUUCCUGUUUGGUAGCACCGAUGUGCAAAUAGCCUAUAACAAAGUGCUUCAGACACACUGUGUAUAAUGUCAAAAAGACCUUGAACUCAGAGGGAGAAGCAGGUGCAGAAAACUAAUGCCUGCUGGUGUGGUGCACCCUGUCCCUGGGAAAGGAAAAAAGCAACACGAACUAACAGUCAUCUCCUUGCAUGUGCUGGAAAGAAAACUAAUUUCUCGGCAACCCUCAUGACUAAUCAUAAAAAAUGUGAUUGACGCCUGUGCAGGGCACCUUCUGUACUGUCUUAUUUUGGUGACUAUUAAAAAUCCCCACAGACAAAGAAUUUAUAAAUUCACCCUUCUCUCUCUCUCUCUCUCUCUCUCUCUCUCUCUCUCUCUCUCUCUCUCUCUCUGAGACAGGGUCUUACUCUGUAGCCCAGGCUAGCCUCACACUCAUGGCAAUCUCCUGCCUCAGCAGCCUCCUGAGUGCUGAGAUUACACAUGUUACUACUCCCAGCCUACCAUCCCCAAUGUCUACCUCUGUGCUCACCCUCUCUGGGUUUCUCAUACUGGGUACAUCCAUUGCUCAUCUGUCACGGCGCUUUCUGAAAGCUGAAAGCUAUUGCCAGUGUUCCUUUCAGAUUUUGGAGUCAUUGGUACACACAGCCCUGCCUGAUUAGAGAUAUUUGUUCAAAUGCAUAGAGGGUACCCUUCUGCUGUGGUCUGAGUGUCUAUGGAAAACUCACUCAUGGUAACUAGCCACUGUAAGAGGAUUGAGAACUGGGACCUUUAAAAGGUGACAGGGACUGAAGAUGAAAUAAUGUCUGGGAGUUGGUUUGUUUGCACAGGAUGGACAUGUUAGAGGCGGGCUCUCUUGCUCUUCCAUCUUGGGCAUGCUCACUGUCAGUCCACCUUGCCAGAUGCUGCCUCCAUCACUUGGAAAUUUCCAGUUUGGAACCUGGAGACAAACUUUUGGUUUAUAAAUUACCCAGUCUGUGGCAUUCCGUAAUAACAGAAGAAACAGGAUGCCCAAGCCCUUUGUCCUCAAGCACCACAGCAGGGAGAUGUGGUAUCUUUCUGUAGUGUGUGGCAUCAAGAGAUUAGGAUCUCUGAGCCAAGAUUGGAGGAUCUUUUGUUGUUGUUUGGUUUGGUUUUUCGAGACAGGGUUUCUCUGUGUAGCUUUGGAGCCUCUCCUGGCACUCAUUCUAUAGAUCAGGCUGGCCUCGAACUCACAGAGAUCUGCCUGCCUCUGCCUCCCAAGUGCUGGGAUUAAAGGCGUGUGCCAUCACUGCCCAGCUAAGGUCGGAGGAUCUUACCUACUUGAACUUCAUAGCAUCUCCUGCCAGUUUAUCCCCUCGCAGUCUCAGUUAAGGAAACUCAGUGGAAGGUGGGUUUCACUAUGUUGGCACACUUGGAAAAUGCUGGCACCCCAUACCACCAGAAAAGCUGCUCCCCUGGGGAGCCAUCUGUGAACAGUACUUCCAACAAUAAUGUCCUGUUCUUCUCUCCCCCUCCUCAGCUCUGUGGCCAUUAAACAAAUGGAGUUAUGACAUUUUUUCCCUCUAGAAUAACAAAACUUUGUUAAUGUGUCUAUUUUAUUCACACACCCGCUGCCACACAUUCCUGUAGAGACCGUCUUUCAGAUGCCCACAGUUAAGAAUGCAUUUUUCAAUUCUUAACAUAAUUAUCUGGCUUCUAGAAGGAGGGAGAGAAGCAUUUAUGGACAUAGAUAAAUCAGAUCCUUGGCCAAGUACCCUCUUCGACUUUCUAUCGGGAAACUCAGGGCAAUCUCAGGACAUGGCUCUUUGUGCAGUCUCAGACACCCCAGCACAGAAAGCCGAAGGUCACCCAGCAAGUCCAAGGCAAGGCAUGCACUAAACCCCAGGAAUCUCAGACCUCCCAGUGCGGUAAUUGAUCUUCCAAGACAAACAUUUGUCUUGCUAACUGUGGUCCUUGCUAUGGAGGCUGAAGAAUAUAAAAGGGGUGGGGGCUGGUAAUGAGUGCAGCGAUUAAUUGGCAGAGAAAGCUUUCAAGCUUCCAGAGAGGGACAGGAUCAAUGAGCUGAAGAGAAACAAAACAUCUUUGAAAGAAAUGUCCUGUUCCCUUACAUCGUUUCAAUUCUUCAUGCUCAGUGUCUUCAGGAGACAUUUUUUUUUUUUUUUGAAGUGGGUUUUUGUUUUGUUACUUUGUUUUUCUUUGUUGUUGUUGUUUUCCUGACAAAGUUAUUUGAUCACAUCUCCAAUUUAGAUUACUUCUUGAGUUGAACUUGACCUUUGCCCACUGAAGCAGAGCAGCCCCUGAUUUAUCUAAAGGAAAUGGGACUUGGAGGCUUUGGAAUAAUGAGAAACACAACCAGAAAGGGCUGAGAUCCGGCACAUUCUCUCUCUCUCUCUGCCGGAAGGGUACAUGCAGGCUGAGGUCAUGAGACUCUGGUGGGCGUGGAAGCCCUGAAGGGGAACCUGGGAUUGGAACAGUGCUCUGCUCUGAAGCUUUGGGGUACUGUAUCACUUGCAGUGCAGAGAGCUAGGGAGCCUCCCAAUUCAACUGUGUAUUUGCCGUGUGACACUGGCCAGUUAGACAACUAUUCUAAAUCCUAGUUUUUCUCAGCCAAGCUCCUGCUAACCCAGCAAGCUCCUUAGGGGCCAGACGCUGGGUUCUGGGUGCCCAGGAGAUAACAGGCACUCAGUAGUUAUCUGCUCAUCGAAUGAACUGGACUCCAUGCUGUCAGCAGGGCUGUAGGAUCAGGUGAGAACUACACAAGAAAGGAAGAAUUAAAGCUGAGACCCAAGCUGGGCACAGUGGCAUGUGCCUACAUGUGCUUGGAGGCUGAGGCAGGACAAUCUACUGAGUUCAGAAGUGUGGUCUAGGCGGCAUAGAGAGGUCCCCAUGGCUCCACUGAAACAUCCACGACUUUAGAUUCCUCACUUCAUUGUCAGACCAGGAAGGAGCCUGACUGUUGAACCUAGAGCUGUUUGUCCUGCAGAUGGGGAAAUGGGUUCUUCAUUCAUCCGUUUCUCAUGUACCCACAAGGCGCCUGCGGUCUCAAGGAUGCAUCAGACAGAAACAUUCUCCACGAUUAGAGAAGAGAACCCAUUUUGAACAAGGUGAUGGUUCUUCUCAGUUGUCAACUCGAGAUCUAGAGUCACCUGGGAAGCAGGUCUCUGGGCAUGCUGUAAGGUUCAUCAAACUGGGAAGGCGCUCCCACUGUGGAUGGCACCAUCCCCUGGACUGAGAUCCUUCUGUAUAAAAUGGAGAAAGUGAGCUGAGCACACUGAGAGCUAUGAUGUAACCAGCUGCUUCCUGCUGCUAUGACUUCCCAACAAUACCCUGGAACCUGAUGCUGAGAGCCAGGAUCAACCACAGCAACAGGGAAAGUCCAGGAUCACACAGCACAUCCAUCCAUCUCAUGUGAAGCCUUCCCACUUGGGUUUGACUGACAGUUCCUGAGGAUUCAGUUGAGAUUAUGCCUGUUUUGGACGGAAGACCACCAAAGUGACAUGGACUUUCAGUGUGAGGUGGCAGGAGGCACAUGGUGAUAACUUUGUGUGUUUAGGGAGGACUCUCCUUGGCUGAUCCACUAUGAAAUCAAUGAAUGUUUCCUUUUGGUAACGACUAUGCCAUUUGUUGGGAAAAGAGGUAGCAUUUUUAUUGUACACAUAUUUGGGCCCUAUUUCAUUGUACCAUUCACGGGCAAUUUCCUUUAUCUUUGCUUCUGUGUACUACUUGUAGGUUAGUCAGCUUUCUGUUAUGUGACAAAAUAUCUGAAAAGAAAGGUUAAUUUUAGCUCAUGGCUUCAGAAGUAACAGUCCACGGUCACUUGGCCCCAUUGCUUUGGGCCCAUCAUAAGAUGUGAUCUCAAAGAAGAAACAUAUGGCGCAGACAACCUAUUUGCCUCAUGGUGGGAGGAAAGCAGGGUGAUGGGCCGGGUCUUUCCAUGAGGCCUUGCUCCUAAAGGUCCCACUGCUGCCCAAUGGCACCACAGUCCGAGGGCCAAGCCUUCACCCACACAGGUUCACUGAAUCAAAUCUACAGCCCAGAAGUCGGUGUUUUACUGUGAGAAGAGGCUUUUUUCCAUUCACACUUCUUCCUUCCUUCCUUCCUUCAUUUCUUUUUUUUCAAGACAGGGUUUCUCUGUGUAGCUUUGUAGACCAGAUUGGCCUCGAACUUAGACAUCUGCCUGCCUCUGCCUCCCAAGUGCUGGGAUUAAAGGUGUGCACCACCACCACCUGGCUAUCACACUUAUUUCUAUAAUCAUACAGCUACAUAAUCAUAGAUUUAAACCUUAUUAAUAGUUUAUAUCACUACAAUCAGAUUCAUCUCAAAGCAGACCAAUGAGAACCCUUUAAACUGGCUUCUGGGGCUGGAGAGAUGGCUCAGCAGUUAAGAACACUGGCUGCUUUUCUGGAGGGUCAGCGUUUGAUUACCAGCAUCAACAUGGCAGUUCACAAACAUUUGUAAUUCCAGUUCCAGGGUGCACAAAUGCCCUCUUCUGGCCUCUGUGGACACUGCACAAAGAAAUCCAUACACA
rnacentral:lncRNA from 1 species